GACGAACGCUGGCGGCGUGCUUAACACAUGCAAGUCGAACGGUGAAGCGCCUUCCUUUUUGGUGGGUGUGGAUGAGUGGCGAACGGGUGAGUAACACGUGAGUAACCUGCCCCCUUCUUCUGGAUAACCGCAUGAAAGUGUGGCUAAUACGGGAUAUUCUGGGUCUGUCGCAUGAUGGGUCUGGGAAAGAUAUUGUUUCGGUGGGGGAUGGGCUCGCGGCCUAUCAGCUUGUUGGUGGGGUGAUGGCCUACCAAGGCGGUGACGGGUAGCCGGCCUGAGAGGGUGGACGGUCACACUGGGACUGAGACACGGCCCAGACUCCUACGGGAGGCAGCAGUGGGGAAUAUUGCACAAUGGGCGCAAGCCUGAUGCAGCGACGCCGCGUGAGGGAUGGAGGCCUUCGGGUUGUGAACCUCUUUCGCCAGUGAAGCAGGCCUGCCUCGUUUGUGGGUGGGUUGACGGUAGCUGGAGAAGAAGCGCCGGCUAACUACUUG
rnacentral:rRNA from 1 species